AAUUUAGUGUGAUUACAUUGUUAAUGAAAUGUUAAGAUUUCCAUACUUUUCGAUAUUCUGCGUUCCUUUCGAUUGAGUUAUUAAUUAUUAAUUAUUAAUAGUGUUAUUGAUAUUCGAUCGUCUUUCUCUAGUAUAUUUGUUUUUAAAAAAGGCACGCAUUCGCUUAUUCGCUACACAGUAAAAGCCUUAGGUUGAAUGUUAAUUCAGACAGAUUUGUGCAACGCCGUCAACGGUCCGCAGAUAUUCCUUCUCCGGGUGGUUUUAGUGCAACAUAUGAACAAAAGACAACUACUAGCGACGACCUAUGCAAACUUUUCUUCUUUUCCAGACGAAUGAAAAUGGUGUGAUUAAUCCAGAGUUUGUGAUAGCAUUAUUAAUAACAUUAUAUGAUAAAAAUAAAAAGAGAUUGGUUCUAGUUUUGUUUUAAGAUGAGUUAUUAUUGGAUUCUUGUUUGUAUUUUUGCUUUUCUUCAUCUUGCUGUUUUCGCACACUUGCGUUCGUUUUGCUAGUUACGUUAUUGUUUUAUUUGCAAUUCCAUUUGCAAUUGUAUCCUUUUGUUAAUACGUUAAUAAAAAAUAGACUUCCACUUUCAUCUUACUAAAAAAAAAUAAAACUACUUGUUUCUUUUGUUUCUGCUCGUUCUUCACUUAGCGCGCUAUACAGUGUUUAUCAGUUAAGUCUACACAGUUAAAACACAUCUAAUUAUUAUUAAUAAUUUCUGAGAUUACGUGUUAUUCCGACGUCCCAAAGUGCGUCUCUGUCGCACGGUCUCUGCCUCGCUUCAAAGCAGAGCAAGCAGCACGGGACAAGAUUUCAUGAUUGUUUUUCUUUCGCGUCGAGAAUCGAGGAUUCUGCAUAUCCUGGUUCAAGGAUGACUUUGUUAAAUAUUAAAAGUAAAAAUCUCUCGCUUGCUUCGAUCAGGUUUUGUUGUUUGCUUUGCCCCAACAAUGGAGGAAAACGGUGUUAUAGCACACAUAACUCUCCAUUUUUUUUUAAACAGUGCUCAUGUUUUUGUCACUAAAUCCUUAUACAUCUAGCUGUGUUUGUUUUUGUGUGUAUGUGUGUAUGUAUGUGCUUGCACAUAAUUAUGUACGUGUGUUGUGGGGUUUGUGUGUUAAAUUAAUAAAAAAAACGAAUCCUCAGAGACUUGUUUCCAUCACGCGCUCUCUCUCGCUCUCUCGCUCUCGUCCCGUCGUAAUUGUUAAUCAUAUUUUGAGAAGACACGAACAAAAGCUUUGCUCUCAUUUGUUGAUUGUUUGUUUGUUUUUUUGUUUGUUUCAUUCUAGUAGUAUUUAUUUGUAAAUAUUUCGAGACUACCAUGGCACCAAGUUAAUACGAAAAGUCAUAACGAAUAAUGCAUCUCUCAUUCACAACAAGGCAUACUUUGAUAUUGUCAGUUUCUGUUUCUACAGGGUUGGUUCGGGUUCGGGUGGAUGUGUAUUUGUGUGUAUUCUGUGUAUUGUUGGUGGGCUUCUUCCGUUUGGGCAACAGUCGUUUGUUUCUCAUCUGGUUUGGUAUGGAAUUUGUUGGUUCAAAAUUUUAGUUAAUCCCCAAAAUUAAAUUACCAAAAGUGAAGGGAAUCGAUCAACGAUCAGUUUUCUUUUAGGAAAUCAAAACGAAUUCUUUGAACGGAUAGACUUACACAAAAAGCAUUUGUUUCCAAUUCCUCAAAACAUCAAUAAUAUCAAUGAUUACGCAUGAUUGCGCAAAACAAUAAUACGUUUGUUCCGAUGCGUUACUUCUUAAGCUACAACACAAAGCUCAUUAGUGUGCAUUGUAUGAAUAUUUACACUCAUUGUUCUGAAACAAAAGGAGUGCUCAUAACGAAUACAUCUGUUUUAAAUGGCGUUUCAAUGCAUUGGGACGGAAUUGCAACCCGUAGAACAAAUUUUGAAUCAAGAAGCAGUGUUAAAUUUUUAACAAUAUCUCCACAAUGUGUGACUCUUUAUCAAAUACAACGAAAGGUAAAUAAAUUUAGAAGUCAUCUUUGGAAGAAUCAUUCCAAUGUUUUGUUCAAACCCGUUCAAAAAAGAGAGGUAAAGGACAGAAAUUAGAUCAAAACCCCUAGACAAAGUCGAAUUUGACAGGCGAAGUUUGUUUUCUAAUAAUUAAAACCUAGUACUAUUAGCACAUACAAAAAAAAACUUUGUUUUUAAAUCCUCCGAAGCACACCAAAGUUGUUCCAUUUCUAGACCAACAAUUGAGAUGGGCGGAACAAUCAAACAUAAACAAUGGCUUUAAACACAAAUUUCUCGAGAAUUAAAACACUCCCACGCAAACUAACAAUGCCAUUCUAUAAAGGAAGUUUGCUCUAUCGGAUGAUGUUAUUAGAUUGCUUGGAUGUGCUUUGAUUCUCGUGGAAUUUGCGUUUAAAGUCAUUGUUUACGUUUGGUUGUUCCGCCUAUUUCAAUUGUUGGUCUAGAUAUAAUAAGAAAAAUCAAAUAUUCUAUAGAAUAUUCUUUUUUACGUUCGCUCAGCCCGUAUUCGGACUAUAUAAACAAAGUCUCAAAAUGUCUUGCGCCCCAAACCCUCCGACACGUUGAAAUAUGCAGGAAAAUUGUUUAAGAUACCUACUUAAAAGAUAGGCAAGGUGUUGCUUUGAAGCCCACACCUCUACUGACUAAUCUGUCCCAAAACUUCAACUUUUAUUCGUAUGAAUUCUUUGACCAUUCAUAUCAAAAGUCUGAGAUCGUUUUUGAGAAUAACAUUUUGAUAAUUACCGCAUUAUUUGACAAAUUUUCAGUUUCAAUGCUAAUUCUAUAAGAAUUGGCAGUACCUACUAUCAAAAUCUGAAAAUGAGCAUUGGUUAAACCCCUUCAUGCAAAUCGUUCAAAAUGAUGAUGUAAACAGUGCAACCUCGCUUUACCGUUUAUUCGCCGGUUAAUCAAAGAAAAAAAUUACAUUCAAAAAUAAAAACGGAUCCGAUGAUGUGGUUGCACGGUUCGUUAAGUCGCUGACUCCGAUGAAAUCUAGGGCAACAUGUCAAAAUGGCUGAUCUUUGUUGAUCGAUUCUCUUCAUCGACUUUCUCCUAGGGUUUCACGAAAAAGGGACACAAUAAUUCGUAACCUAGGCUGGAAUAAAUCACAAUUUCCUAGAAUCCGAAUUCAACGUGAUCAGAUAAUAAAGAACCAAUAAAUCGAUCUUCGAACCUUACUUUUCAAGGUUAAACUCGCUUGUCAAAUGGAUUUGUGAAACAAACAUCAUCUUGCUUUUAAAUGCUGAUGUCGAGUUCAGCACAAUGCUUAAGGGCGAAUAAGCUUUCAUUCAAUCUUGGGAUGAUGUUUUGGCACAGUGUAGGUUAGAAAAGAUCUUUACAGUGGCUUUAGCCGACGAUUACUCGAGAGUAAAAGAUCACACAUGCCAAUUAACGACGCCACAAGGUAGAUGAAUGUUUCCUCUACCAGCUGGCAUCGUUAAUUUGCAGGAGUGAGCUAUUAUUUGUGAGAAAUCGGCGGUUGGAGUCAUUGGUUACAAAAGAAGUUUCACCCUAAUGAAAUGUUGGCACUGUUUUAUCCAAUGGUUAUUAAGAAUCCAUACUACAGAAUACUAAUAUUUCAUUGGUACAGAAUCUUAAAAUAGAUAUUAAAACAUGGCUUUUAGACAUUUGUGUAGUCCGAUUAGUAUUUUUUUUAAAUGUUAACUUCCAAGAUCAUUAAUGGGCUAACAAAGAUCUUCUAGGCCCAUUACCAUGUAUCUUUAAAAAGUAUCAUAUAUAUUCUAAAUCUUAGAUUUUUAUGGUUUCAAAUUUUGAUUUUUGAUUUAUUUUCCAGGGUGAUUUUCUCAGGCAUGGCUAAAUCAAAAUAUCUGAAGCAAAUAUUGUCUAUUCAAGCAUGGACAGUAGACUGACGCAAAAUUUGAAUUUUUCAGUCCACGGUGCUCAAACGGUUCCAAAUUGGAUCCUGAUUAGCCUCCCAAAAUUUGAUCUCAUUUAUUAAUAAACUGACUUGGCACAAACUUUAUGAAGUUUAUAAGGAAAUUACUAUCGAUCUCAAAAUUCACCAUUUCACUCUGCUUUUAAAAUUGUUAGCUUCGCUUGUAGGAAAUUUUCUCAGCUACAACUUUGCCAAAAACCACUUCUCACAUCACUAAUGUCUUAUGAUUAUGUUCAAUCAACUGUUCAACAGGCAACAUUGGUCUUUUUUGGCGCAUAGAAUGGCUACUACGUCACACUGCAGAACACAGUGUUGCCCACAGAACAAAUGCCUGAUCGUGUCAUAAGAUUAUCAAUCUCUUAAACAAUUAAUAACUAUUUACUUUUAAGUUUGGCUGAAAACCGAUCUUCUGCAAAGUUGUUGCUGAGAAAAUUUACCAUAAGCAUGGUUAUAGAAUUUUUAAACAGUGCAAUAUGGAAAAAGACUAGAUGACAAAGAGCAAUAAGUUUGGUUUUCCCAUAGUAAUUUCCAUAUAAACUUCAAAUGGUUUGUGCCAUGCCAAUUUCUUACCAAAUGAGUUUCAAUUUUGCGAGGCUUAUCAAGGACCCGAUUUGAAACCGUUUGAGCACUGUGGAGUGAACACUUCAAAUUUUGCAUCACUCUAAUGGACAGUGAUUCAAAGCACCUUGGAUUCUAUUAGUAUCAAUAUCAACAGUACUUUGACUUCUCAAUACGAUAAAGUAUAAUGCACUGGUGGAAAUUUCCAUUUCAUAAUUCCAGUUUUUUCCGGUUGUUGGUCUUCCAUUUCACAUUUUCCAGUUGUGCACCUCACCAAGUUCUAAGAAGCACUUUCACAUUGAAAUAUAUAUUUUUAAAACCCAUGACAAGUUAAAAGAUCAAAAUAGCCUUAUAAAUUCCAAAAUCGUCUUGAAAUGUAUAGCGAUGGUCUUUAAAACGCUGAAAUUGGCUUGCAUAAUAGGAGUCAAACAUGUUAAAAUAUCGCCAAGAAGUAUUAAAAAACGUCUAAAGUCGCCUUAAGAAGGACUCGUUCUGAGAAUUCUAACAUGACUUCAAAAAAGGUCAAAACAUCCCGAAAAUUUCAAAAUAUCUGAAGGUGAUAUGGUCUGGAAGCCCUUCGCUCUCAUGACAUUUCGCAUUUUCUGGAGCAUUAAAAUCAGCCACUAGGAAACAUAUAUCAACAAAACUUCAUCCUCAUGUUUAUGGAGAAACGAAUUCCAUGCAAAUUAGGCAAUAGUGUCCGAGAUUUACUUCCCAGCCAGCUUCUCGAGUAAAGCUGAAGAUCAAAUCGCAAUCAAAAUUUGCUGUUAUGAUGUAAAGUAAGUAGUAAAGUUGCUUUUAUUUAUAAAACUGAAAGCACAAUAUGUAAUCAGACUUAUUUCGCGACAAUUAAUAUUAAAAUGAGUUUUCAUUACGAUAGAAACAGCAAACUUAAAUAUCGAUUUGCUUUCAUUUUGUUAACCGCCUUUACCCGGGUUUACAGCCAUCUUGCUGGAUUUGUGGACGCUGUAACACAUAAAACACCAACAUAUGAUAAAUAGUAAUUAAAGUACCGAAAAGUCCAUAAAACGCAUAAGGCAAAUGGCUAUUCGUUGCCAGAGAACCACCAAAACAGCCAAAAUGGAUUCACAAAAGCAUUGUGGCAUAUUUUUAAAGCUUAAUGAACUAACGUCAGAACGUAAAAAUGGCCAUAAAUAGGCCAGAAUUCAAACCCAAAAAUCGUCUUUAAAAAGCUAAAAUAGCUCUGAAAUGCAACAAUGACAUUAUAAAGGUCAAAAUAGUCUUAAAAUCGCAAAAAAAGGUUUUGAAAAUUAACAAAGGUCUUGCAAAUAGACCCUUUAAUCACAAAAUUUACAUGAUGAAAAUACAAAACUGACCAUAACAGCCAGCAUCUUUAAAUUUGAUUUAAAAUAUAAAAAAAACUCAAAAAUGUUAUGCAAAAGUACCAUCAAAAUGGCCUUAAACUACAAAACACUGGCUUCAUUGGAAAAUAAGCACCUGUCUCAACGAAGCCAAUUUCAAAUAUUUUGUUUCAAAGUGGUUUUCCUGGAAAAAAUUUCAACUUCCUGACUCAAUAGAGUUGCCACCCACGAUUUGAAAUAACAAUGGAUAGACUGAAUUUAACAAAUUGUAAGUUGCAGACUAGAUCGUAUAUGAUAAAUGGAAAACCUAUGAAAUUUGAACUAGCAAGUGGCAGUCCACAUUUGUCCAGUAGAUCAUUGUAUAUGAUUUGUUUGAAUUUUUUAAACGAAAAAUAUUAGCAUGCAUGGUUUUUUUUUUUAAAUUUUGAUAGAGGUUUUGAAACCGUAUCAUAAAAAUAUAAAUUUUUCAUCACAGUCGGAAAGCAGUACCUAAUUUAAAUUUCAUCUGGGUUGAUAGAAAUAAAUAUGAUUUAGGUACACUGAUUUUUCUGAAAAUUUCCUAAAGGUUUUACCAACCAACCAACCAACCAACCUGACACCAAACGACUUGUACACCAAACACGGAAAGCGCCCUGUCCUUCGGUCUCAUUCAAAGAAAAUCACCUGUAUUCAUUUUGUCAAGUGUGUUGUAGCAGGCUGCAGUAUAAGUGGGAUCCAUUCUUCUAAUGCACUUUAUUUAAUUACGGAGUUGGUAGGGAGGGGGAGGGGGUGUUGACUCGCACGCUAAAACUGAUUAAAAGUACUACUAUUUUUGUUUCUAAUUACGGGAAAUGGAGGGUGGAUUGCGGAAACUAGUAGCAAUUGGUAGUGUAAAUAGUAUCAAUGUGUGAGUGUUAGUCAAAUUGAGGACAACAACUGAAUAUUAUUAUUGACGAAAUCGAUCCUGAGCGACCGAUGCGGAUGCGUGGUAAAUAUUUGAAUAUUGGAAGAAGAAUGAUAAAAGAUUUUGGUGAUUGGUGGUUGCAUUCCGGUUUUGUUUUUCGUUUUUGUAGAUAUUGCUGUUUCUUUCUUUCGUUUUUUUUUUGUUUUUGCAUUUCUUCUCCGAAUGUGUGGUUUGUUUUAAUGCGACUUGAGUUGUUGUUUGUUUAGAUUCGUUAUUGACAAUUGGGUUUAAUAGAGUUCUAGACGACGCUUUCUAUUUUU